AGUGAACGCUGGCGGUAGGCCUAACACAUGCAAGUCGAACGGCAGCACAGUAAGAGCUUGCUCUUACGGGUGGCGAGUGGAGGACGGGUGAGGAAUACAUCGGAAUCUACUUUUUCGUGGGGGAUAACGUAGGGAAACUUACGCUAAUACCGCAUACGACCUACGGGUGAAAGCAGGGGAUCUUCGGACCUUGCGCGAUUGAAUGAGCCGAUGUCGGAUUAGCUAGUUGGCGGGGUAAAGGCCCACCAAGGCGACGAUCCGUAGCUGGUCUGAGAGGAUGAUCAGCCACACUGGAACUGAGACACGGUCCAGACUCCUACGGGAGGCAGCAGUGGGGAAUAUUGGACAAUGGGCGCAAGCCUGAUCCAGCCAUACCGCGUGGGUGAAGAAGGCCUUCGGGUUGUAAAGCCCUUUUGUUGGGAAAGAAAAGCAGCAGGUUAAUACCCCGCUGUUCUGACGGUACCCAAGGAAUAAGCACCGGCUAACUUCGUG
rnacentral:rRNA from 1 species